rnacentral:lncRNA from 1 species
CAAGUAUAAUUAUCAACUCUCUCUACCUAUAGACCAACUUAUGCUUUAUAGAGCUUACAUGAACAAGAAAGCAAAAUUCCAUAUAAAUCCAAAGACUUAAGAAAUUCAUUCCUAUGUAACCUACUUAAAAAAUAACCUACAAUACCCAGAAUCCUAGCAAAGUUUAAAAAGACUCCUGCUACUAUUAUAAAGUAGUAUUUGGCACAUGUAAUGCAUGUAGGAGUUUGUAAGGAUAGCGGUGUUUUAAUCUGAUUGGAGAUAAAUCUUUCGAUGAAUGGAGAGAGAUGAGAUUAGUUUAUCCUUAAGAGAGAUUACAUGACAAAGAAACCACAGUAUU